CACGUAGGGCGCAAGCGUUGUCCGGAAUUAUUGGGCGUAAAGAGCUCGUAGGCGGUCUGUUGCGUCCGCUGUGAAAACUCGGGGCUUAACCCCGAGCCUGCAGUGGAUACGGGCAGACUAGAGUGUGGUAGGGGAGACUGGAAUUCCUGGUGUAGCGGUGGAAUGCGCAGAUAUCAGGAGGAACACCGAUGGCGAAGGCAGGUCUCUGGGCCACUACUGACGCUGAGGAGCGAAAGCAUGGGUAGCGAACAGG
rnacentral:rRNA from 1 species